GGUGAUUCUUCUGCCUUAGCCUCCUGAGUAGCUGAGACUACAGAAAUGAGGCUUCUCCCCAGGACCAGCAUUCCACGAAGGCAGCCCUUUUCUAGAUGGAGAAAACAGAACCUGAAGACACCCGUUUCCCUAAACUGCUCUCGCUCAUGUAAACUCCUGGAGGGCAGAGGCAUGCCUGCCAUCUUCAUCAUUGCAUUACCACCACCCAACACUAUCGGGGGACCUGCCCUGAUAAUCAGUCUACAGGUGUAUCCAGCAGCUCCAGAGAGACAGCGACCAGCGAGAAGGGGCCAUGAUGAUGGUGGUGGUUUUGUCAAAACGAAAAGGGGGAUAUGUAGGGAAAAGAAAGAGAGAUCAGACUGUUACUGUGUCUACAUAGAAAGGGAAGCCAUAAGAGACUCCAUUUUGAAA
rnacentral:lncRNA from 1 species